rnacentral:rRNA from 1 species
GACGAACGCUGGCGGCGUGCUUAACACAUGCAAGUCGAACGAUGAAGCCGGAGCUUGCUCUGGUGAAUUAGUGGCGAACGGGUGAGUAACACGUGAGUAACCUGCCCUUGACUCUGGGAUAACUGCUAGAAAUGGUAGCUAAUACCGGAUACGACCCUCGGAGGCAUCUCCAGGGGGUGGAAAGAAUUUCGGUCAAGGAUGGACUCGCGGCCUAUCAGCUAGUUGGUGAGGUAACGGCUCACCAAGGCGACGACGGGUAGCCGGCCUGAGAGGGUGACCGGCCACACUGGGACUGAGGCACGGCCCAGACUCCUACGGGAGGCAGCAGGGGGGAAUAUUGCACAAUGGGCGCAAGCCUGAUGCAGCAACGCCGCGUGAGGGAUGACGGCCUUCGGGUUGUAAACCUCUUUUAGUAGGGAAGAAGCGAAAGUGACGGUACCUGCAGAAAAAGCACCGGCUAACUACGUGCCAGCAGCCGCCGUAA